rnacentral:rRNA from 1 species
CCUACGGGAGGCAGCAGUGGGGAAUAUUGGGCAAUGGGCGCAAGCCUGACCCAGCAACGCCGCGUGAAGGAAGAAGGCUUUCGGGUGGUAAACUUCUGGUAAGAGGGAAGAGGAGAAGACGGUACCUCUUGAAGAAGCCACGGCUAACUAAGUGCCAGCAGCCGCGGUAAUACGGAGGUGGCAAGCGUUGUCCGGAGUUACUGGGGGGAAAGGGCGUGCAGCCGGGAAGACAAGGCAGAUGUGAAAUCCCGAGGCUCAACCGCGGAACUUCAUUUGAAACUGUUUUUCUUGAGUACCGGAGAGGUCAUCGGUCUUCCUUGUGUAGCGGUGAACUGCGUAGAUAUCCG